AGUGAACGCUGGCGGUAGGCCUAACACAUGCAAGUCGAGCGGAAGAACAGUGAUAGCUCGCGCUUACAGCGGCGGAGGGGCGGGCGAGUGAUGAGAACAUCCGUGGCUACGUUUUCGAGGGGGCUAACGUGGGGGCAAAUACGCUAAUAGCGCAUACGACGUACGGGUGAAAGCAGGGGACCUUCGGACCUUGCGCGAUUGUAUGAGCGGAUGUCGGAUUAGCUAGUUGGCGGGGUAAAGGCCCACCAAGGCGACGAUCCGUAGCUGGUCUGAGAGGAUGAUCAGCCACACUGGAACUGAGACACGGUCCAGACUCCUACGGGAGGCAGCAGUGGGGAAUAUUGGACAAUGGGCGAAAGCCUGAUCCAGCCAUACCGCGUGGGUGAAGAAGGCCUUCGGGUUGUAAAGCCCUUUUGUUGGGAAAGAAAAGCAGCAGGUUAAUACCCCGCUGUUCUGACGGUACCCAAAGAAUAAGCACCGGCUAACUUCGUG
rnacentral:rRNA from 1 species